rnacentral:rRNA from 1 species
UACGUAGGGGGCAAGCGUUGUCCGGAAUCAUUGGGCGUAAAGCGAGCGUAGGCGGCCCGAUAAGUCUGCUGUAAAAGUCAACGGCUCAACCGUUGAAAGCCGGUGGAUACUGUCGGGCUAGAGUUCGGAAGAGGCAAGUGGAAUUCCUGGUGUAGCGGUGGAAUGCGCAGAUAUCAGGAAGAACACCCGUGGCGAAGGCGGGUCUCUGGGCCGAUACUGACGCUGAGGAGCGAAAGCGUGGGGAGCGAACAGG